GCAGUCUGAAAUGCACACUAGUUGUUCCACCAGCUUCCCCUGCCCUCCCAGUCUAUGAAAAGCUAGCCUCUCAUGUACAUGGGGACUGUGAUGACCACAGAAAGAGAUCACGUCACAGGGAGGUGCUGAAGGGGGAUGAGGCGCCUGAGAGGAGAAGCCACGGCCCUGCUUCCUCCCCGAGCCAGCCAUGUGCCUCGGCCUCCUGUGCUGUGUGGCUCUUUUAUUCUGGGGAGCAGGCUCCAUGGACACUGAGGUCGCCCAGAGUCCCAGUCAUCUGGUCAAAGGAAAAGACCAGAAAGCCAAGAUGGAUUGUGUCCCCAAAAAAGGACAUACUUAUGUUUACUGGUAUCGCAAGAAGCUGGAAGAACCAUUCGAGUUUUUGGUUUACUUACAGAAUGAAAAAAUUAUAGAAGAUACAGCUGUGUUCAAACAGCGAUUUUCAGCUAAGUGCCCCAAAAACUCACCCUGCAGCCUGGAAAUCAACUCCACCGAGGCAGCGGACUCAGCUCUGUAUUUCUGUGCCAGCCAGCCAGUCCACAGUGCAGCACGUCAGCCCUUCCUAGAACACAAACUCACCGUGAACCCAGCUCAGGAAAUCAGUGGUGUCAUAGGAGGGUAGGAACUACUAACGGAAACCCACCUUGAAAGAGCAUAAACCAGAAAGAAAAACCUGUAAAUGGCCACACAGGAUGAGCAGAAGGGGAGGUGGAAAACAGCUGGUGGGAAUACAAAUCCAAGGAUGGGGAAGGAAG